UGAGUUGAUGGAGUGGUUUAAGCUCUUGGCUUCUCCAAGUAAGGUCAUGAGUUCGAAUCAUGGGAUGUGCAUGUGUGAUAAUUAGCAAAAAGAAAGAAAGAAAAGAAAAGAAACAUAAUAGUGUGUGUGGAGAAUUAUAAAAAAUCUUAAAUUUGAGACCAAAUGUGGUUAGAACCAUAUUUUGUGAGAAAUGUGAGACUAAAAACCAAACCAAAUCCAUUUUUCUAAAUGUGAUUUCAAAUGGAUCCAAAUUCACAAUUUU
rnacentral:lncRNA from 1 species